rnacentral:lncRNA from 7 species
GUUGAACCUCCAGCUGAUGUCCUAAUCCUCUCUGUCACUUAAUUGCCAGAUGAAAUAACGUAUUUCCAUCAGAAUUUAAACAGGUGUGAAGAUGCAAGGAAGGUCACUGGUCCUUUGUUCCACUUCUCUGAGCUCUUGUUGGAUGGCUGCCAUUUCUCAUCCUGCUUUGAUGAUUUCCAGCUUCAUUUGAGGAGCUGCUCUCUGCAGAUCGUGUAAUGAGGAGGAUUUCCUCAUGCAUCCUUUUCUUUAAGUAUGGGGGUGGAUGUUUCCUCUGUUGAACAGUGACUGCGUUUAAUAGUUUUGUUUCUUUAAUUAUUAGUGGUGAACUUUCUCUCUGUUGCUCUUGUGUGAAGUGACAGUGCAUAGCAUCUGUCCUGCAGAAAGAAAAAAGACGAAUACUGGCAAUGUGUUCUGUAGGAAGUGGAUCUCAUGGACACUGGUCCAUCUCGCACCAGAUCCUGCUUGGCUCAUUUUGAGAUGCUUUCCUCAGUGCUUUACUAAUAUUACAGCUGGACUGAGCUUUGUAAAAUCUGCUGCUAAGAGUGGAAAGUCAAAAUGUUGCAUAGAAGGGAUGCUUUAAUUUCUCUGUGCCGUUUGAAAAGGAAGAAAGAUGGGGGAGGGGGGAAGAAGAAAUGCUCAGCUGGAGGCUGGAUGACUGCAGGCCUGGUGUGGCUCCUCUGGCCUUCAGCUUGGUGGGGUUUCCUACUCUGAAAUGAUGCUUCUCUGAAAGGCAAAUCUUAGCAAUUAAACUGAAGUGCAAGCUCUCU